rnacentral:rRNA from 1 species
UCUGCAAACACGAAAGUGGACGUAUAGGGUGUGACGCCCUGCCCCGGUGCCGGAAGGUUAAGUGAUGGGGUGCAAGCUCUUGAUCGAAGCCCCGGUAAACGGCGGCCGUAACAAUAACGGUCCUAAGGUAGCGAAAUUCCUUGUCGGGUAAGUUCCGACCUGCACGAAUGGCGUAACGAUGGCCACACUGUCUCCUCCUGAGACUCAGCGAAGUUGAAGUGUUUGUGAAGAUGCAAUCUACCCGCGGCUAGACGGAAAGACCCCAUGAACCUUUACUGUAGCUUUGCAUUGGACUUUGACGGGACUUGUGUAGGAUAGGUGGGAGGCGAUGAGACCGGGACGCUAGUUCCGGUGGAGCCGUCCUUGAAAUACCACCCUGGUGUCGUUGAGGUUCUAACCUAGGUCCAUCAUCUGGAUCGGGGACCGUGCAUGGUAGGCAGUUUGACUGGGGCGGUCUCCUCCCAAAAGGUAACGGAGGAGUACGAAGGUCUUCUAGGUACGGUCGGACAUCGUACUGAUAGUGCAAUGGCAAAAGAAGGCUUGACU